UACGGAGGGUGCAAGCGUUAUCCGGAUUCACUGGGUUUAAAGGGUGCGUAGGUGGGUAGGUAAGUCAGUGGUGAAAUCUCCGAGCUUAACUCGGAAACUGCCAUUGAUACUCUCUAUCUUGAAUAUCCUGGAGGUGAGCGGAAUAUGUCAUGUAGCGGUGAAAUGCUUAGAUAUGACAUAGAACACCAAUUGCGAAGGCAGCUCACUACGGGAUUAUUGACACUGAGGCACGAAAGCGUGGGGAUCAAACAGG
rnacentral:rRNA from 1 species